rnacentral:rRNA from 1 species
CCCUUAGAUGUUCUGGGCCGCACGCGUGCUACACUGAGUGGAUCAGCGGGUCAGGUUGCGCGAAAGCGUUUCCUAAUCUUUAAAUCCGCUCGUGAUGGGGAUUGACGGUUGCAAUUUUCUGUCAUGAACGAGGAAUACCUUGUAAGCGCGGGUCAUCAUCCCGCGCUGAAUACGUCCCUGCCCUUUGUACACACCGCCCGUCGCUCCUACCGAUUGAGUGGUCCGGUGAGGCUUUGGGAUCUGAGCGGAAAGAGCGUUUCGCUGUUUCUGCUCGGAAAACUCAGUCGAACCUUAUCAUUUAGAGGAAGGAGAAGUCGAAACA